UACGUAGGGUGCAAGCGUUAAUCGGAAUUACUGGGCGUAAAGCGUGCGCAGGCGGCUUUGCAAGACAGAUGUGAAAUCCCCGGGCUUAACCUGGGAACUGCAUUUGUGACUGCAUGGCUGGAGUGCGGCAGAGGGGGAUGGAAUUCCACGUGUAGCAGUGAAAUGCGUAGAGAUGUGGAGGAAUACCGAUGGCGAAGGCAGCCCCCUGGGAUAACACUGACGCUCAUGCACGAAAGCGUGGGGAGCAAACAGG
rnacentral:rRNA from 1 species